AUUGAACGCUGGCGGCAGGCCUAACACAUGCAAGUCGAGCGGAUGAAGGGAGCUUGCUCCUGGAUUCAGCGGCGGACGGGUGAGUAAUGCCUAGGAAUCUGCCUGGUAGUGGGGGAUAACGUCCGGAAACGGGCGCUAAUACCGCAUACGACCUGAGGGAGAAAGUGGGGGAUCUUCGGACCUCACGCUAUCAGAUGAGCCUAGGUCGGAUUAGCUAGUUGGUGGGGUAAAGGCCUACCAAGGCGACGAUCCGUAACUGGUCCGAGAGGAUGAUCAGUCACUCGUGAGCUGGGACACGCUCCCACCUUGGACGUGAGGCAGCGGUGGGAAUUCUUCGACAGGGGGCGAAAGCCUGAUCUAGCCAAGGCGCGUGUGUGAGGAAGGUCCUCGGCUUGUAAAGCACUUUAGGUUGAGAGGAAGAGCAGUCUUUUACCGCCGUGCUGAUUGGCCGUUCCCAAAAGAGUAGGCCCCGCUAACCUUCGU
rnacentral:rRNA from 1 species